UCUUUCUAUUUACUUUUAGGUAUGGUUCUUUUCUGUUUACUUUUAGGUAUGAUUCUUUUCUUUUUACUUUUAGGUAUGGUUCUUUUCUAUUUACUUUUAUGUAUGGUUCUUUUCUGUUUACUUUUAGGUAUGAUUCUUUCCUGUUUACUUUUAGGUAUGAUACUUUCCUGUUUACUUUUAGGUAUGAUUCUUUCCUGUUUUCUUUUUGGUAUGGUUCUUUUCUAUUUACUUUUAGGUAUGGUUCUUUUCUGUUUACUUUUAGGUAUGAUUCUUUCCUGUUUUCUUUUUGGUAUGGUUCUUUUCUAUUUACUUUUAGGUAUGAUUCUUUCCUGUUUACUUUUAGGUAUGAUACUUUCCUGUUUACUUUCAGGUAUGAUUCUUUCCUGUUUUCUUUUUGGUAUGUUUUUUUUUCUGUUUACUUUUAGGUAUGAUACUUUUCUGUUUACUCUUAGGUAUGGUUCUUUUCUAUUUACUUUUAGGUAUGGUUCUUUUCUGUUUACUUUUAGGUAUGAUUCUUUUCUGUUUACUUUUAGGUAUGGUUCUUUUCUAUUAUGAUUUCAGACAGUAUUCAGUAAUAUCUUGAAAUAAACUGUUGAUACAAAGAUAUGUCUCGCCUGUCUGCAGAAAAUUUGAAAAAAGACAAUCUGGUGGACAGCAACAUUCCAACAAUUUUAAACUAAGUCCCUGGACCAUGAACUAGGGGCAGGGCCUUGAAAUAGUCAUUAAACUGAUUUGUACUGAUAGUAAUGUAACUUUAUAGAAAAUAUCAUUGAUCUAUGACAAGUGGUUCCUAUCAAACUGACUUAACCAGAGAAGUUAACAUUGAAAUUGCUAAUUAAUUCAAAGUCACUGGACCAUGACCUAGGGGACAGGACCUCGAAAUAGUUGUCAAACUGAUAUGUACUGAUAGUAAUGCAACUUUAUAUAAAUAUCAUUGAUUUAUCAUAAGAAGUUCCAAUCAAACUGACUUUAGCAGAAAACUUAACAAUUGCUGAUGCAUCCUCCUCCGCAAUAGCAUCCGUCGCUACCAAAACAAUACCUUUGUCUUGCUUAUAGCAACUUUCCUUAUAGGCGAUACAAAAAAUGAAAGCCCUAUCCUGGUGACAAGAAUUAAAAUUACACAAAAUUUGUAUUAACUGUAAACCUGACAUUUGAUGUAAAGAGCUAAAAAUCACUAGGGAUCUCUCCAUCCCCUUAUAUUUAACCAUAUAUUCAAGUUUUGUUCCAAUCCUAUAUGAGAUCCUUGAGUCAUCAUUAAGAGACCCCUUUUCUGCACUUUUAUCAGUUUAUUUUUAGGUAACUAUCACCUUAUCUUAUUGACCUAGGAAAUAAAAGAGAUUUCUCCCUCAUUAUUUACAGGUUUGGUUUGAAUCUAAUGAAUUAUAAAAAAAACUUAUCUGGAAACUCCUUUCCUGAACAAAUUUCAAUUUUUUGUAUCUUUGACAUUGACCUUUUUCUUUGUCGACCUUUAGUCUUAGAGAGAAGGUAUUUAUUUUUUUAUAAGUUGUAAUUGGCAUGAACUAUAUUCAGUAACUGUGAUAACAUUUAGAUUGGUACUAUGGGUCUUUUGUCUUUUAUAUGUUAGUUGUUUUUUGUGCUUCACACUAAUCUGAUCAAGUCGAGCCAUUUCUAACUGAUUCUUCCACUUUGAUCUUAUGUUGUGCUGUUACAACAUUGUCCCAGGUUAGUUGGAGGGUUGAGCGCUCACAAACAUGGUAUACCCAGCCAUAUCCUAUAUCAUGCCUGUCCAAGUCAGGAGUCUGUAAUUUAGUGGCUAUCAUUGGUUGCUGUCUGUUUAUUUAUUUUUUUUUAUUAGUUGUUUACAAUUUCGUCAUGUCAGGGCCUUUCCAAGCCGACAAACAGUAUGAGUUUUGCUCAUUGUUGAAGAUUAGAUGGUGCUUAAAUCCAUGUCAUUUGGACUAUGUUGGAAUAGUUGUCUCAUUGGCAAUCCUACCACAUCUCUUUAUAGUAUAUCAAAUAAAUAGGGAUCAUCCUCACAUUAUAUCUGUCAAUGAUAUCUGAUAUAAAGUAUAUGAUUUAGCAUCUGGAAACCAAAAUGACUGAUGGACUAACAGACACAGUGACAGAAAGGCAGGUCAAAAACUAUAAACCCCUGCUUCUUCAAAACAUGGGGUACUACCAUCUGUAAACAGAAAAAUUCUCUACAUAUUUCCCAGUUCCAAAUUUUUUUAACAAAUGUAUUUCUGGGUUUUUUUAAGGAAUGACCUUAUGACAUCUGUUAUUGACAAACAAUAGUCAGUUGGCUGUUUCUUAUAUGAUUCAUGUAUCUUGUGAAAAAAUAUGAAUUUGCAAAAGAUUCUUGAUUUGAAUAAUUUCCUUCAUCAAUGAAAAGCUAAAAAAAUGGUUAGCCAAUUCAAAUCUGAUUUUUCAAGUAUUUAACUUAUCUAAAGUUUUUAUAGAAGAAUUAUCCAGAGGUCACAGUAAUUAUGUAGUAUUUGAGAUACUUCAUCCACACCCCCCCCAGUAAAAGGUUCCUUAUUUUUACUUUUUUAAUUCUCCAAUAAUGAUCUUACUUAAAUUUUGAAGAGUGUAAAACAUGAAAUAAAAAUGCUCCCGUGUGGACACAAAUAAUCAUGUGACUUUAAAACAAGUCUUUAUCCCAAAUAUGGUUCCCAAAUUCCUAUUCUCUUUCAUAUUUUCCACUGACCUGAAGUGCUUGAAUGAUAAUGCAACACCAUACCAUUUAUCAAUUGUUUUUCAUAAAUACUUCUACAUAAACACAACUAAUCAAUAAACCUAAAGUCCCCUUACACUUCGUCUGUAGGGGACUAAAAACUUAACAUAUGAAUUACAUACAAGAGACUCAUGAGAGCCUGAUAUCGUUCACAUGCAAUUUCAGUUUCAGACAUUUGACUUAUUUGUAGAUCUUACUUUGCUGAACAAUUUUGUCAUUUACACUUUCUCUCUUUCUAUAAUAAUAUUAAAGAUAAUACAUAACCCAAAACUGUAAAAUUUCCUAAAAAUUACUUAAUUCUGGACAGUAAUCCAACAAUAAGUUGUACUUUUGGUCUGAAGAUUAUUUGACAGGUAGAUCUAAAUCUGUUUAACACUUUCACCUAUGUCAGUUUUGCUCUUACUACUUUAGUUUUUGAGAUGAAAGCCAAAAACUUCAUUUUACCCCUAUGUUCUAUUUUUAAAAACUGCCGUCAUGUUUUUUAAUGGAUCAAAAUCUGAAUAUAAUCUAUAAAAAGAUACCCUAAGGUACAUUCAAUCAAAGUUGUUAAGUAUUUGGCCAAGUAGUUUCAGAGAAGAAAAUUUUUGAAUAAGUAAUAAGACUUUCACAAAAAAUGUAAAAAAAAACAUUUUAAGGGCAAUAACUCCUUAAGGGGUCAAUUGACUAUUUUGAUCAUGUUGACUGAUUUGUAGAUCUUACUUAGCUGAACAUUUAUUGCCAUUUAUACUUUCUCUCUAUCUUUUAUAAUAUUCAAGAAAAUAAUUUCCAACAGUAACCCUACAAUUGGUUGUCGAACUUGUCUGAAAAUUUCAUAACAGAUAGAUCAUGACCCAUUUAUCACUUUAACUUCCUUUCACUUUUGCUCUAACUGCUGUAGUUUUUGAGAUAUAAGCCAAAAACUGGUUUUGUCCCCUAUGUUUUAUUUUUAGCCAUGGCAGCCAUGUUUAUUGAUGGAUCAAAACUUCAGAUACAAUUUAUAAACUAUAUACCCUAAGGAACAUUC